UGAAGUCCUCUCGGCCUUCUUUAGGCUUAGGCCAGGAAUGGGCAGCCUUACUCCCGCGGUACUCGGCAAGCAGGCUGGCCCAGAGUGCGGGUGCGAGGGGUGAGUCAGGAAUGCUGGGGUACUGGGUCAUUCUCCCUGGGGACCCUCGGCCGCAGGGCCGUCAGACUUCACCCAGCAGGACCCAGGCCGAACUUUCCCUGCAUUCAGAGAAAAAUGUGAGAGAGAGAGGCUGAGGGAACUGCCCACUCCCCAUCCUCCUUCUUCCACCCAAAGUGCUGCUGUGCGCGCUCGCCUUGCGAGAGCGGUCCCCGCAGCUUAAUGGCGGCAGCUCGAGCUCCUUAAAUACAAAACACCCCGCAAAUCCGGUAAAUGUCGUUUUCAGAAGCGAAGCAUCAGACCAGAGAGGGUGUGACCUGGGCGGAGAGCAAGGCUGCUGAGCCCAGAGUAGCCCCGGCCCCGGGUUCCGGUCCCCUCCCGGCCCGGGCGCACCGGCCACCGUCCCCGAGCCUGGCGGAGACUUGAGGAUGGCCAGACUCAGCUUUGCCCAACCAGGGUGCGCGGGCCCCUCUCUGGCCGGGAAGGCUCUGACAGUUCGCCCCUUCCGGACCCGAGGACACUCACCCAAGAAUCGCUUCCCAGCCCCGCCACAUUGCCAAAGGCAGGGUUCCGGGGCCUCCUUCCCUUCCUCCUGCCCCCUUCCGUCCCUCCCUUUCCUCUUUAGACACUAAUGGACUGGAGCUGUCCACUGGACUGCAGACCCCUCGAGAUCAAAGGGAAAUCCCAGCAUCCCAAUCUCCCCCAAAGAGCUGCUCCUGGACAGAGACAUCCACAGACAUGUAGGUGAAAGGACAGGACCCCUCUCCAUUCUCCAAAUGUGACAGAUGAUUGCGUGGUUUGUUCUGUCUUGGGCACUGUUUUCUUCCUACAGUUCCACCACUUGGACUUCAACUGCUGGAUCCUUCCCACCUGUCAUGUGGAUGUCCCUCUUCCGAGGAAUCCCCUGAGCCUUGAGGGACAUAGAGCCACCCCCCUCAGCACCUGAGCGGGUGCUGAGCCUUCUGUCUCAGCUCCACAGGCUGCUGGCCGGUGUAGGGGUGUCUGUUCUCCCAUUGCCCAGCUUCACACCUGACACCAGUGGUACUCAAUAAAUAUUGGGAAUGGAGUGAGUAUGAGACUGUA
rnacentral:lncRNA from 1 species